AUGGAAAAUGAGGAAAAGACCCAACUCAGGAUCUCACUGAGAAAUCCAGAUGCCUUGCAGGAGAAUAAACAAGGCAGCCUGCUCUCUGCGGUCUCCGUUUCCCUGUUUCUGUGCGAGUGUGUAUGUGUCCGUUUCUGGAUCUUAGGGGUGUGUGUCUUAGCUUUGAUCAUUUCUCCGUCCCCCUUCCUCUUACUUCCUGUGGGGAUCCGCUUCAGGACUUGCUUUUGGUCUCAGCUUCGGUCACUGUCUUCAGGCACUUCUGGUACAGGAACAAAGAUCAGCAGCAAAAAAUCACUCCUUUCAAGUACUCGGUUCAGUGAUCUGUGGCCUCUCUCCUCUUCAUCUUGAGUCCUACUCAUUCAUUCAGACUGGUCCCCACCCGGCCCCCAAGCUGAGGAGGGUGGAUGGAUGAACGGAUGGCAAGUCUUCCAGCACUCUUGGGGACCCUCUUCCUGCUGGCGUAAAAUAGCUCCUGACCUCAGCGGUGCCCCAAAUAUCGCUUUAAAAAUCAGUCAUCUACGGAGGGUGAGUUAACUGUUUUAGCAGUCAUCACCCAACACCUCAACGGCUCAGCACAAUAAAAUGGAUUUCUUGCUCA
rnacentral:lncRNA from 1 species